ACUUUAUUCUGUUUGCCUGUAACAAAUCACAUUGAGUCACGCUCAUUUGACUCUUAACUAAUCAAUAAUUCAUUUUUAGUUCAGCAGUUAGUAGUCUUCAUCUAGCACAGAAUACCAAUAGGCAAUGAGUUUCCACAAAAGGAAGGUGUUUUGGAAGAUCCACCCUGACCCCUCCUACCCUACUCUGCCUCUAUUCUGCCUGCAGAGCUGCUAACUGUUGUGGGAUUACCUCUCACAUUCGCCGAAGCACUACUAGUGCUGGUCAGAGUGGAAUAUUCACAAGUCACAAUCUCCUGGGAUGGAACUGGCUGUUUUGUUCUUAACACGGCAGUGCUUUGGAGUCGACACACUUUGGUGCCUCUGGGACAGGAGCAGCCAGCAAUAAACCACCCUGGAUAAUCUUUUCCCGUUUGCCAGCAGGUGGUUGUCCUCAGGGUAUCUGCAGUGAGGACAGGCCAUCUUCUGUAAGAUGGCACAGAGUCAUUGUGCUGGCAGCCUCCAGAUGUGUGCUUGGGUGCCUCUGGCUAACUGUUCUCCAGCAGUGUGCAGGGACCUCUUCGGGCACCAUAUCCUGAUUCCUGUCUGAUUUCUGCCACCUGGCCACGUCUGGUGAGGAGAUUGCUCCUGCUCUGAGGGCCUGCCUCAGUGGUGACCCCAUAAGAGACCUUCGUUCUCCAAGGUGGCCAGAUACGUGUCGAUGGGAUGCCAGGUGUGGUCCCUUGGAUGAAGGGCUACAGAGCCACCACCAGCGCCUCCUCUCACAGCCACUGCGCACUCUCUGCCCAGCCCAGCCUAACGUUCCAGACAUCUCUUUAGCCCCAGGAAGGGCAGAAACAUGAGUACAUGUACAGCAGAGGUGUUAAUCAGUGAAAGAAUUGAAGUACACAAUGCGGAUUUUGAGUCUUACCAAGAUGAUGCGAGAGGAGGUUGGGUCAGCGCUUGUUGGCACCAUGCCUGUGAAGGGGGCAAUAAUCCCACAUUUCCUGAAGAGAGUCAGGAAGAGUUUCUCCUGCCUCAGAGGCAGAAGGAGGCGUCAGAGUUUCUGCUGCAGCGUCUUCUACGGGAGAACUGGAGCUGAAGGUCUUCGGACAAACUCCUGAGUGACAGAGGCAAGUGAAACUGCCAGAGGGUGGUGCAUGGGCAUCUCUAAUGCUUGCAAAUACAGCCUAGAGUGCUGCCCGUGCCCGCUGCAUGUAUUCUAUUUAUAACACAGCUGAGAGAGCAUUGGCAAAGCAUCUCAGAGGAGCAACCUUUUGUUAUAUUUACAGCUGCUUCCUUCCCUGUUAGUGCAACCGACACAAAAAAUAAUCACAAUAAUAUGAAUUGUGUGGUUAAUUGAUUCACUGGCUUAUGAUCAUGCUGCGGCCAACUCAGCCAUAGCCUGGUUAUUGCAUCUUGUAUCCCUGUGAUUUCUUACAGAGCAGGAAACACCUGAAACACCUUAGUAUGUUUAGGAGCCACUCACCUGGCUGCUUCUUGCAACAGCUCACUCCAUUCUGGCCUUUUUUCCUUGUGUGCUAGGAGGCUGAUUCAAGACACUGAUUUUCCUCAUGCUGUUCUUCAGGCUCAGCGCUGAGGGACUAUAUUUGAAAUCAGAGAGUGAGCUGUGUGUUAAGAAAUAGCUCUGGCACUAAAAUAUUUAAAAUUACUCUUUGUUUCCCUGACUUCUCUCCUAAUUUAGAUUAUCCAAAUCCAGAUUCCCCACAGACUUGCCCACAAGAUGGAAUUCUAAGAAAAUAUUGCUUUGUUUUAUUUGGUUUUUAACAUCCACAUUUCUCACAUUUCCUGUUCCAGUUUCAAAGUGGGCCUGAGCCCCUCCACUAACAUCACUCCAGCUGUUAUUUUGGGGAUCUGAGAGAGGGGAGAAAAAAUAAACGAAGUGCAGGGAAUGCGUUUCUUGGAUUUCCCCCCUGUCAGCCACAGGUUCUUUUUGUCGAGACGGUAAAGAGUUACUGACAUUCCUCUCUUUUCAGGUCAAAUAGAGGGAUUAGAUGAAGGGUAUUGCUAACACGGGUCAAGGUAUUAAAAACCUGCUGCCUAAAUUUAGGUUCCUAAUUUUGCAUUUUGAGACCCUAAAUAAGGGCUUGAUCUUGUCCCCUUUGAAGUCAAUGCCAAAGUUUCCACUGAAUUCAAUCUGUGAGAUGAAGUCCUAAAUUAUGGUCAGGUUCUUAAAAGUUCUCAGCGUCUCAUGGCUCCAAAUAAGUCAUCACUCAGCCUCUUUGCAAAUCACACGUCUUCCCUUAAGUGCCUAAACAUGGAGCUCGUGCUUUUAGGUAUUCCAUAUUUAAAAUCCUGCCUGUUGAUGCCAUCUUUCUUUCUGUCUCAGGAGCCACUGACAUGGGAAGACAACAAGGCUAAUAAAGAAGCGUAGCCAGGACACACAUUGAUUUGCUUUUUUUCAGUGAGCAGUGCUUAGCAUGAACACUGUGGAUUCUAUAGAAAUGUCAGUAUUUAUUACGGUGUUACGUUAACAUGGAAGGCACAUGAAUGUCCUUGCUGGCGCCAGAAUUCAGGCAAGUACACGACCAUUUGCACAAACUUCACAUACACUGUAACAGGAUGUUGGCAGGUGGGAAGAUCACAGGAUCCAGAUGAAACAUAAGAUGAGAUGAGCAAGCCUGUAGUGGUAAUUUUAGAAGCUGGGUUCUGUACAUUAUUUACAGUACAUUGUAGCUUUAAGGUGAUAAGGCUCCCCCUUGCCAGUCGUGGAUUUAAUCUUUUCUGUGAGAUUUCUGUGUGGGACUUUCAGCAGAGCAGCAGCUGGAGGGAUUUUAUCUUUUCGGAAGAGUGUUAAAAUGACAGGUUAUUUGCAGCAAAGCCAUGUUCAUUCAUAAAAUGCUUACCUAGCAGGAGGGGGAAAGGCACCUAGGACCUUCUACCAAAGAAAGAGAAAAUAGUGAGCAAACUAUCUGCUUGCUGCAGAUCUGAAGUGCAAAAGCCUGGCAUUAGGAGGAAGCUGCUCACAGUGAACUUUGACAGUCGGAAAUGGUUCCUGCCUCCAGGAGCUUUAACUGGAGCUUUACCUUCAGUUAGCGACAUACCCUCUCCUUUUCCCAUGGAGAGGGCUGAAGUGCCCCUAUCUCUUGGAGAACAUUUUUGGCAAUUGCAUUCUUAAUAUGGGAAACUGUGGUUAUUUUGGAUGCAUAUUUGUUUCUUCAGAAAUCCUCUUCAAAAAAACAAACACAGGGAAAGCAAAGAAAAAGGGACUUUUGCAAUGUUUGAACAACACCCACCACUCCUGUGUAGAAAAGUAAUCCCUGAGAGGAAAAGGGAUUAUAUUCUCCUCCGGGCUUUCAACUAGACUGGAUUUCUCCCCUUGCCCAGAAGUGAGGCCAUGGGCACCAGGGGUGCUGGGUGUGAUCCCACAGCUGGGGCAGCGAAGGGCCUGGACAGGAGCUGGAGUCUCUCCUUGCUCAGACGGACCUGUCACUCAUCUCCCAGCCUUCCUCGGGAUCAAUGUGGCCCGGGUGACCCCCACAUGCUGCAGGAAGGGGUGACACAAAAUCCUUAAAAAAUAAACAAAAGGAAG